rnacentral:rRNA from 1 species
AUUGAACGCUGGCGGCAGGCUUAACACAUGCAAGUCGAGCGGGCGAGGUUGCUUCGGUAACUGAGCUAGCGGCGGACGGGUGAGUAAUGCUUAGGAAUCUGCCUAUUAGUGGGGGACAACAUUCCGAAAGGGAUGCUAAUACCGCAUACGUCCUACGGGAGAAAGCAGGGGCUCUUUAUGACCUUGCGCUAAUAGAUGAGCCUAAGUCGGAUUAGCUAGUUGGUGGGGUAAAGGCCUACCAAGGCGACGAUCUGUAGCGGGUCUGAGAGGAUGAUCCGCCACACUGGGACUGAGACACGGCCCAGACUCCUACGGGAGGCAGCAGUGGGGAAUAUUGGACAAUGGGGGGAACCCUGAUCCAGCCAUGCCGCGUGUGUGAAGAAGGCCUUUUGGUUGUAAAGCACUUUAAGUGGGGAGGUAGGCUUACCUGGUUUAAAUACCUUGGGCUAAGUGGACGUUACCCACUAGAAUAAGCACCGGCUAACUCUGUGCCAGCAGCC